GGUAAAAUGGCUGAGUUAUAGGCGGUAAAUUGUAAAUUUAUUUAGGAGAUUAAUCUCUUUUAUCA
rnacentral:tRNA from 1 species